UACAGAGGUCUCAAGCGUUGUUCGGAUUCAUUGGGCGUAAAGGGGGCGUAGGUGGCGUGGUAAGUCGGGUGUGAAAUUUCGGAGCUUAACUCCGAAACUGCAUUCGAUACUGCCGUGCUUGAGGACUGGAGAGGAGACUGGAAUUUACGGUGUAGCAGUGAAAUGCGUAGAGAUCGUAAGGAAGACCAGUGGCGAAGGCGGGUCUCUGGACAGUUCCUGACACUGAGGCACGAAGGCUGGGGGAGCAAACGGG
rnacentral:rRNA from 1 species